rnacentral:rRNA from 1 species
GACGAACGCUGGCGGUGUGCUUAACACAUGCAAGUCGAACGGAAAGGCCCUGCUUUUGUGGGGUGCUCGAGUGGCGAACGGGUGAGUAACACGUGAGUAACCUGCCCUUGACUUUGGGAUAACUUCAGGAAACUGGGGCUAAUACCGGAUAGGAGCUCCUGCUGCAUGGUGGGGGUUGGAAAGUUUCGGCGGUUGGGGAUGGACUCGCGGCUUAUCAGCUGGUUGGUGGGGUAGUGGCUUACCAAGGCUUUGACGGGUAGCCGGCCUGAGAGGGUGACCGGCCACAUUGGGACUGAGAUACGGCCCAGACUCCUACGGGAGGCAGCAGUGGGGAAUAUUGCACAAUGGGCGGAAGCCUGAUGCAGCAACGCCGCGUGCGGGAUGACGGCCUUCGGGUUGUAAACCGCUUUCGCCUGUGACGAAGCGUGAGUGACGGUAAUGGGUAAAGAAGCACCGGCUAACUACGUG